GGAUCAGUAAAUGAUGUAGUGGAAUCUGAGCCCCUGUGACAUCGGUCUCUGGCAUAACCUGAAAGAUGAGUGAAAAUUGGAUAGUGCAUCUGCAGCCAUGUUCUGAAUCUCGUUAAUAUAAUGACAUAGAAAGUAAUAAAGUGCAAGAUUAUUAAUAUCAAAGAAGACUCACAGUUACUUCACGUAAUUCUUUUCACAUGAAAAACAAAGCAACAUAAAUGAUGUUAUUAACAGUCAGGUAAUGACGGAUAAUGUAAUUGUCCUCUUCCAGAUGACACCUUGAGGGAACAAAGAUUGCUGGAGAAAAUAAAAUGUUAUUUUAACAUUCAAUCCGAGGAGCACAUGUGGAUUUCAGAGAUAGCAGAGGAUUGAUUGACAAUAAACUUUCCACAUGAUCAGCACCUUCCAGGUGGAAAGCAGCAUAAAUGUAUUUAUUAUGCUAAGAUUGCACCUGAUGUGGCCCAAGCCAUCCCUAAUCACAUUAUAUACCCAAGGUCACAGUAAUAUACAAUCGCACAUUUUCUUUUAUGCAAUUGUAUACAGAGAAAAUAAAAACACA